rnacentral:rRNA from 1 species
UAAUACAUGCAAGUCGAGCGAAGUUUUCUGGUGCUUGCACUAGAAAAACUUAGACGGCGAACGGUGAGUAACACGUAAAGAACCUGCCUCAUAGACUGGACAACUAUUGGAAACGAUAGCUAAUACCGGAUAACAGUAUUUCUCGCAUGAGAGAUAUUUAAAAGUUGGUUAUGCUAACACUAUGAGAUGGCUUUGCGGUGCAUUAGCUAGUUGGUGGGGUAAAGGGCCUACCAAGGCGACGAUGCAUAGCCGACCUGAGAGGGUGAUCGGCCACACUGGGACUGAGACACGGCCCAGACUCCUACGGGAGGCAGCAGUAGGGAAUCUUCCGCAAUGGGCGAAAGCCUGACGGAGCAACGCCGCGUGAGUGAAAGAAGGAUUUCGGUUCGUAAAGCUCUGUUGUUAGGGAAGAAUGGAUAUGUAGUAACUAUACAUAUAAGAGACGGUACCUAACCAGAAAGCCACGGCUAACUACGUGCCAGCCGCUGC